GACGUAGGUGGCGAACGUUAUCCGGAAUUAUUGGGCGUAAAGGGUGCGUAGAUGGUUUAAUAAGUUAGCGGUGGUAAAUCGAGGCUCAACCUCGUGGAAGCUGGUAAUACUGUUAGGCUUGAGUGCAGAAGAGGUUAAUGGAACUCCAUGUGGAGCGGUAAAAUGCAUAGAUAUAUGGAAGAACAUCAAUAACGGCGAAGGCAAUUAACUAUUCUGCUACUGACAUUGAGGCACGAAAGCGUGGGGAGCAAAACGG
rnacentral:rRNA from 1 species